rnacentral:rRNA from 1 species
UAAGGAAUAUUGGACAAUGGAGGCAACUCUGAUCCAGCCAUGCCGCGUGAAGGAAUAAGGCCCUAUGGGUUGUAAACUUCUUUUAGACGGGACAAAACCCCUUUACGUGUAAAGGGUUGAUGGUACUGUCAGAAUAAGCAUCGGCUAACUUCGUGCCAGCGGCCGCGGUAAUACGAAGGAUGCAAGCGUUAUCCGGAAUUAUUGGGUUUAAAGGGUGCGUAGGCGGACUAAUAUGUCAGUGGUGAAAGCCUGCAGCUUAACUGCAGAAUUGCCAUUGAUACUGUUAGUCUUGAGUACAGUUGAGGUAGGCGGAAUGUGUCAUGUAGCGGUGAAAUGCUUAGAUAUGACACAGAACACCGAUUGCGAAGGCAGCUUGCUAAGCUGUAACUGACGCUGAGGCACGAAAGCGUGGGGAGCAAAC